rnacentral:rRNA from 1 species
GUGACCUCAAAUCAGGUAGGACUACCCGCUGAACUUAAGCAUAUCAAUAAGCGGAGGAAAAGAAACUAACAAGGAUUCCCCUAGUAACUGCGAGUGAAGCGGGAAAAGCUCAAAUUUAAAAUCUGGCGGCCUUUUUGCUGUCCGAGUUGUAAUCUAGAGAAGUGUUAUCCGCGCUGGACCGUGUACAAGUCUCCUGGAAUGGAGCAUCAUAGAGGGUGAGAAUCCCGUCUUUGACAUGGACUACCAGGGCUUUGUGAUGCGCUCUCAAAGAGUCGAGUUGUUUGGGAAUGCAGCUCAAAAUGGGUGGUAAAUUCCAUCUAAAGCUAAAUAUUGGCGAGAGACCGAUAGCGAACAAGUACCGUGAGGGAAAGAUGAAAAGAACUUUGGAAAGAGAGUUAAACAGUACGUGAAAUUGCUGAAAGGGAAACGCUUGAAGUCAGUCGCGUCAUCCAGGGAUCAACCUUGCUUUUGCUUGGUGCACUUUCUGGUUUGAUGGGUCAGCAUCAAUUUUGAUCAUUGGAAAAAGGUUUUAGGGAAUGUGGCAUCYUUGGAUGUGUUAUAGCCCUUGGUCAUAUACAAUGGUUGGGAUUGAGGAACUCAGCACGCCGCAAGGCCGGGUUUUUAACCACGUACGUGCUUAGGAUGCUGGCAAAAUGGCUUUAAUCGACCCGU